rnacentral:rRNA from 1 species
CAGUCGACGGUGAAGAGAGAGCUUGCUUUCUUGGAUCAGUGGCGAACGGGUGAGUAACACGUGAGUAACCUGCCCCAGACUCUGGGAUAAGCACUGGAAACGGUGUCUAAUACCGGAUACGAGCUUCAGCCGCAUGGCUAGGAGUUGGAAAGAAUUUCGGUCUGGGAUGGACUCGCGGCCUAUCAGCUAGUUGGUGAGGUAAUGGCUCACCAAGGCGACGACGGGUAGCCGGCCUGAGAGGGUGACCGGCCACACUGGGACUGAGACACGGCCCAGACUCCUACGGGAGGCAGCAGUGGGGAAUAUUGCACAAUGGGCGCAAGCCUGAUGCAGCAACGCCGCGUGAGGGACGACGGCCUUCGGGUUGUAAACCUCUUUUAGUAGGGAAGAAGCGAAAGUGACGGUACCUGCAGAAAAAGCACCGGCUAACUACGUGCCAGCAGCCGCGGUAAUACGUAGGGUGCAAGCGUUAUCCGGAAUUAUUGGGCGUAAAGAGCUCGUAGGCGGUUUGUCGCGUCUGCUGUGAAAACUGGAGGCUCAACCUCCAGCCUGCAGUGGGUACGGGCAGACUAGAGUGCGGUAGGGGAGAUUGGAAUUCCUGGUGUAGCGGUGGAAUGCGCAGAUAUCAGGAGGAACACCGAUGGCGAAGGCAGAUCUCUGGGCCGUAACUGACGCUGAGGAGCGAAAGCAUGGGGAGCGAACAGGAUUA